AUGGUAAAUGAGGCAAAUGCUGAAGCUGCAAUUCCAGUGGCGAAUUUAUCUUCUACAAAAAUUCCUUCUCAUUCUUUUGGUUUAUCCCCUUCAACGACGCAGUGCACAAUUCCUGAUGUUGGCUCUUCUUUGAAGCCCUCAGCUGGUCUUAUUAAGAAAUGCGAACCCAAGGUCGAUGAUAAUGGUUUUCAAAGACCCACUUUUGCUCAGUUAAAUCACACUCUUGGUGUUCAAUGCUAUGUCGAUGUUUCCAAUGGUGAUCCCAAUGAUAAAGAGGUUGAUAAUUCUUCUGGAGGACUGUCACCUCUGGUUCCUAUACGCUUGUGUUUCCAUACCACGGUUAGCAUCUCCCAUUGUACUCCCAUUGUACUCCUUUUUUUGGAACAUUACUAG
rnacentral:rRNA from 1 species